UACGUAGGUGACAAGCGUUGUCCGGAUUUACUGGGCGUAAAGAGCGCGCAGGCGGUCGAUCAAGUCGAGUGUGAAAGCCCCCGGCUCAACCGGGGAGGGUCGUCGGGGACCGCACCGCUUGAGGGCGGUAGGGGCUGGUGGAAUGCCUGGUGUAGUGGUGAAAUGCGUAGAGAUCAGGCGGAACACCCGUAGCGAAGGCGGCCAGCUGGGCCGUCCCUGACACUGAGGCGCGAAGGCGUGGGGAGCGAACGGG
rnacentral:rRNA from 1 species